rfam:Stegodyphus mimosarum contig24966, whole genome shotgun sequence.
GCCUUCGUGGUGUAACGGUAGCACACUCGGCGCGUACUCUGUAGGUCCAGGUUCGAGUCCCGGCGAGGGCA